AGGUGGCACAAGACCACAGUUAUUUGCCCUUGGUUGACCACAAUACGGAAGUGGUUACGCGGAAAAUAGUUCCUCUGUUUGAUGGUGAAUAUUGGUGAAUUUUUGAGUGAAAGACCUGCAAUAAAUGGCAUGAUUUAAUAGAGGAGAUAUGAAACAGUAGGUACAUGUACAAUUUGACAGAAUGAAAAUGUCAGAAUAUGCAUAACAUGACUUUUUGAUAGGGCCUGUUUGCGGCCAUCUAGAGGGUAUUCUUCAUACGCAUGUGAUUUGGUUCAAAAUGGUGGAAAAAAAGAGCCGGUCAACCCAAUAUUUACUGUGGCUGGAAUUUUUUCUCUUGAAUAGUUCUGUUGAGUUCAGGUAUUUUUAUAGGGGUUGGAAUGCAUGCAAAAUUGCUAUAGUGUCCAGUGCCUAUAUAGAACAUAUAGUAAAAAUAACUGUGGUCUUAGGCCUGAUAUAGUGGAAAAUGUCAGAAAGUAAAUUGUCAAUAUUUUUUUUAAUUUUUCAAUCUACAUGGCUGAAAUUUUGACAGUGAAUGGCUGGUAGGCAUAGAAAUCUGUACCUAAAAACCUGAAAUGAGAGCGCUCGGACAAUGUGAAGUUUGUCGCAUAGACGGGGAUUGACCGCCUUUGUACAUAUAUGUCUACAGCUUCUCAGAUUUGACUGAAGACAGUUGUUCGGUGUUGUGAAUGGAUGUUGUUUGGCCGAAGGCCUUCCAGUCACACAGAAGAUCCUGGUUCGGUCACACGAAGAGUCACUUCCAUUGAUAUUAGUCACAGGAAAAAUUAGGAGCACCAGUUGUAGUUUCUCAGGUUGAUAUUUAUUAAGGUUUUUGCUGAAAUUAAGCCAGUUUGGAACAUUCAGCAGGCAGUGAUGUACAUUAAAAUCAUUCUUUAUAGAGAUAGGGGCUGUUUUGCCAGAAUGCUCAGCUGUGAUACACAAUGUAAGAUUUUGUGCAGUGUAAAUGGUCAUGGUGUGCAUGUUUCAUUUACAGAGUGCACUGAAUGCCUGUAAACUGUAAGAUUUGAGUGAAAUAUUCAUUCCAGAAAGACUCAUAAGCUUUUUAGAAAGCUCACAUAUUGGAUUUUUCAGAGCUGUUUGGCUCAUUUUACCUAGGGUAGCCAUAAAUGAAUGAUCACUGAAAAGUAUAUGACACAUAUAUGUACAAAAGCUAUUCAUGCUCAUAUUUGCCACAUACUGGGCUGCUUAAAAAGGGCAAAUUUGACAGCUACAGGAUUUUUCUUAGUUCACAUUUUACUUUUUCGUGUGAGUAGACUACGCGUUUUGACGUGCUUUUUGUAAUAUGAAUAGUUUUCCUUAAAAUUGGAACAGUGAUAUUGUAAUCAGACUUGAAGUGGCUCUUAAUUUGGAUAGAUGUAUAUUAAGGAAACAUGC